UACGUAGGGACCAAGCGUUGUUCGGAUUUACUGGGCGUAAAGGGCGCGUAGGCGGCGUGACAAGUCACUUGUGAAAUCUCCGGGCUUAACUCGGAACGGUCAAGUGAUACUGUCGUGCUAGAGUACAGAAGGGGGCAACUGGAAUUCUCGGUGUAGCGGUGAAAUGCGUAGAUAUCGAGAGGAACACCUGCGGCGAAGGCGGGUUGCUGGGCUGAUACUGACGCUGGAGGCGCGAAAGCUAGGGGAGCGAACGGG
rnacentral:rRNA from 1 species